rnacentral:tRNA from 2 species
GCCGUUGUAGCUCAGGGGUAGAGCACUUCCAUGGUAAGGAAGGGGUCUCGGGUUCAAAUCCCGACAACGGCUCCA